rnacentral:rRNA from 1 species
ACGAACGCUGGCGGCGUGCUUAACACAUGCACGUCGAACGGAAAGGCCCUGCUUUUGUGGGGUGCUCGAGUGGCGAACGGGUGAGUAACACGUGAGUAACCUGCCCUUGACUUUGGGAUAACUUCAGGAAACUGGGGCUAAUACCGGAUAGGAGCUCCUGCUGCAUGGUGGGGGUUGGAAAGUUUCGGCGGUUGGGGAUGGACUCGCGGCUUAUCAGUUUGUUGGUGGGGUAGUGGCUUACCAAGGCUUUGACGGGUAGCCGGCCUGAGAGGGCGACCGGCCACAUUGGGACUGCGGUACGGACCAGACUCCUACGGGAGGCAGCAGUGGAGAAUAUUGCACAAUGGGCUGAAGCCUGAUGCAGCAACGCCGCGUGCGGGAUGACGGCCUUCGGGUUGUAAACCGCUUUCGCCUGUGACGAAGCGUGAGUGACGGUAAUGGGUAAAGAAGCACCGGCUAACUACGUG